rnacentral:rRNA from 1 species
UACGGAGGGUGCGAGCGUUGUCCGGAAUCACUGGGCGUAAAGGGCGCGUAGGUGGCGCUCCAAGUCCAUGGUGAAAGCUCGAUGCUCAACAUCGAGUCGGCCACGGAUACUGGAGGGCUGGAGCACUGUAGGGGCAGAUGGAAUUCCGGGUGUAGCGGUGGAAUGCGUAGAGAUCCGGAAGAACACCGGUGGCGAAGGCGGUCUGCUGGGCAGUAGCUGACACUGAGGCGCGACAGCGUGGGGAGCAAACAGG